rnacentral:rRNA from 1 species
UGGAGGGCAAGUCUGGUGCCAGCAGCCGCGGUAAUUCCAGCUCCAAUAGCGUAUAUUAAAGUUGUUGCAGUUAAAAAGCUCGUAGUUGAAUUUCGGGGUUCAUACGUUGGUCGGGCUUUUUGGUCUGUACUAGCGUAAUGGAUUCCUACCUUCUGAAUAACCGGCAUGCCAUUAAUUUGGUGCGCCGGGGAAGCAGGACUGUUACCUUGAAAAAAUUAGAGUGCUUAAAGCAGGCUAUCGCCUGAAUACAUUAGCAUGGAAUAAUGAAAUAGGACGGCAUGGUUCUAUUUUGUUGGUUUCUAGGAUCACCGUAAUGAUUAAUAGGGAUAGUUGGGGGCAUUAGUAUUCAAUUGUCAGAGGUGAAAUUCUUGGAUUUAUUGAAGACUAACUUCUGCGAAAGCAUUUGCCAAGGAUGUUUUCAUUAAUCAAGAACGAAAGUUAGGGGAUCGAAGACGAUCAGAUACCGUCGUAGUCUUAACCAUAAACUAUGCCGACUAGGGAUCGGGCGAUGUUAAUUUUUUAAUGACUCGUUCGGCGCCUUACGGGAAAC